rnacentral:rRNA from 1 species
GUGGGGAAUAUUGGACAAUGGGCGAAAGCCUGAUCCAGCCAUGCCGCGUGUGUGAAGAAGGUCUUCGGAUUGUAAAGCACUUUAAGUUGGGAGGAAGGGCAGUAAGUUAAUACCUUGCUGUUUUGACGUUACCGACAGAAUAAGCACCGGCUAACUUCGUGCCAGCAGCCGCGGUAAUACGAAGGGUGCAAGCGUUAAUCGGAAUUACUGGGCGUAAAGCGCGCGUAGGUGGGUUUGUAAGUUGGAGGUGAAAUCCCCGGGCUCAACCUGGGAACUGCCUCCAAAACUGCAUGACUAGAGUACGGUAGAGGGUAGUGGAAUUUCCUGUGUAGCGGUGAAAUGCGUAGAUAUAGGAAGGAACACCAGUGGCGAAGGCGACUACCUGGACUGAUACUGACACUGAGGUGCGAAAGCGUGGGGAGCAAACAGGAUUAGAUACCCCAGUAGUCC